GACAAAUUGGCCGAGAAAAACCCCCCAUGCCAAAGUGAAUCAUGGAAGUGCCCAAGUAGCUCUGCACCCUAAUUAGUUUUUUUUCUGGAGUGAUGACUAAAGCUGGUAGUAAUGUUGUUUGAGAGGAUUGCUAUUCGGCGUAUGAAUGAGCGGAAAUUGCGAUUUUGAUCUCGACAUCUUGGGCAUCUUCAAUUUGCUCCUCUAAGGACAAAGAUAUUCGCUGAAUUGCUUCCCCGCGGCAACCAUCGUUGGAUACAUCAUCUUCAUUUUACCGGACGUGAAAGUGGGUGAAAUUUUCGCUCUCAAAUUCCUCCAUUUGGCUCCCUCCAGACUGAACAGAUGCGCGGAAAGAGGAUCGUCUCUCUCGUUGUAGUAUAUGCCGCGAUUU